rnacentral:rRNA from 1 species
GACGAACGCUGGCGGCGUGCUUAACACAUGCAAGUCGAACGGGAUUUAGUAAACAGAAGCCUCGGUGGAAGAUUACUAAUGAGAGUGGCGAACGGGUGAGUAACGCGUGAGCAACCUUCCUAUGACAGUGGGAUAGCCUCGGGAAACCGGGAUUAAUACCGCAUAAAAUCGUAGAAACACAUGUUUUAACGGUCAAAGAUUUAUCGGUCAUAGAUGGGCUCGCGUCUGAUUAGCUAGUUGGUGAGAUAACAGCCCACCAAGGCGACGAUCAGUAGCCGGUCUGAGAGGAUGAACGGCCACAUUGGAACUGAGACACGGUCCAAACUCCUACGCGAGGCAGCAGUGGGGAAUAUUGCACAAUGGGGGAAACCCUGAUGCAGCGACGACGCGUGAACGAAGAAGGUAUUCGUAUCGUAAAGUUCUGUCCUAUGGGAAGAUAAUGACAGUACCAUAGAAGAAAGCUCCGGCUAAAUACGUG